AUACGGAGGGUGCAAGCGUUAUUCGGAAUCACUGGGCGUAAAGGACGCGUAGGCGGGUUGGCAAGUCAGAUGUGAAAUCCUACAGCUUAACUGUAGGACUGCAUUUGAAACUGCUAACCUAGAGUAUGGGAGGGGGAGAUGGAAUUAGUGGUGUAGGAGUAAAAUCCGUAGAUAUCACUAGGAAUACCGAAAGCGAAGGCGAUCUCCUGGAACAUAACUGACGCUAAGGCGUGAAAGCGUGGGGAGCAAACAGGAUUAGAAACCCUAGUAGUCC
rnacentral:rRNA from 1 species